GGGUCACUCAUGAUUGGACUGCUGAUGAGAAAUCUGAGCUACCUUCUCCCUUGCAUGCAUUUCCUUUUAAUUCACUUUGAUUCAGGGAAUGUAUAUAUAUUUAUUAUUUUAUCUAGCUAUGAAUAAAAAUAAGCCCCUGUAAAUGCAGUCACUGCAACUGUACAGAAGCAGGCCUGUUCUAAGACACUACAUAUGUGUGAAACACUACAAAUGUACAGGUUUCAUGAAGCUUAAGGAUAUCUCCAGCUUUUGGUUCCUGCUAGUAAUACAGACUCAUUUUACAGAUGAAAGAUCUGACAACAGGUACCUCAAAUUGGUGUAACUGUAACCGACUUCCAAAUGAAGACUGGUACUAAACCCAAGACUAAAAUAUUAAACACAGAGCAUCACAAUCUUCAUUAUUUAGAAGACUUCCCACUAUUAAAGCCAGUUGGAACAGCACUGGUGCCUUCAAGUCCUCCUUCUCUCUGGCUGCGCCUUCAGAUGGUCAUCAGGGACUGUGUGUGCAUGGAAGAGGCAGAGAUGCUCCUCAGUGGGACCCGUCAAGGAGGGAUCUGCCCACACCCACACAGAAAUGGGGUUCCCGGCGAGGACCCCAAAAGGAAACCCGAUAAAAAAUGUUCAAUUUUCAUAUAAAAAUAUUUUUGUAGGACAAACAGCACAGUUUCCAGUGACUGCUAUGCUAGACUGUACAGACACUUUAGUCAAACAGAAGGAGAGAAGGAGAAGCAGACAUGGAAACAGAUGAUCUGAUAAGUCUGCCAACUGCUUAUUCACUUCUUUUAAUAACACCUAAAAGUAACAAUCUGCUGUCUAGCUAACAGUAUCCAAUUUUAUUCUGUAAUUUUCUCUAUGGGUGUGUUGUGUCAUAUUAAAAUACUUGGUUAUAAAUCUGUGGUCCAGAUAAUCUGUGUUUGAUUUAAAAAAAAAAAAAGGCAUUUUGCUUUGCUGAUAUAGCUCAGAUAACUCCUAUUAUGCUAUUUACAGAGUGAGAGAUCACUGUGCUGUAUAA